rfam:Schistosoma haematobium scaffold409_24, whole genome shotgun sequence.
AGCUUUUUGAAUCCGUGCAGAGAUUUCGUCAAACACCAACCCAAUAGGGCUGAUGAGACUCCCGAGGAGGUGAAGUU